GAAGGCUUGAGCUCGAACCCGUGGCGGCUGCCUGGGGCGGCUUUAAAUGACCCAUUGGCUUCAGAGACGAAAGCAGCACUGGGAUUGCAGUCAGUCCCUCGGAAUGUGGAUAUUUGAAAGAAUCGUAGGAGCAUAUUGUUCAGAAGAUGACUUGUUAAUUUUUAUUCACUGUUCUCAUAGUUCAUUUAAUGGCCUGUUUCUCUGUUUUAGAGGCACAGGAAACUAUGGGCAAUACAAAAUCAGAUCUGGGAAAUACAGAGGCAACCUUCGUUUGUGGGCAACACUUACUUUAGUUCUCCCUUGCCUUCCAUGAGGAAGUGCAAGGUACAUGAUCUUUUGAGUUUUAGGCCCCAGGAACUGCAUUUUUAGGUUGAUUGAGAAUUCUGAAAAGCAAGAGAAAGAUGAAAGCUAUCAGAAGGUAGACUCUCCAUUGCUUUGCAUAUUAGCUAUAUCCCUUGUACAGCUCGCUGAUUGAUACAUGCUAUUUAGUGAUUAGGUAGAGACAUCCAGUUGUACUUGGGUAGCUCUUGUAAUAAAGAGCUGCCUCCUCCCUACUUGGUGCUGCCCGGCAGUCUUAGGCUCAUGCCUGAGUUGCUGUGUUUCUCACUAGUGGUUUCUUGGGAAACACCAACAGUGGCAUAGACACCACCCCUACCCACCCAGUUUUUUCUCGAUGUAGACUUUUUCUUAUCACAAGAAGAAUCAGCAAUGUAUGUUACUGCAUUUUUCCCCCUAGUUGUCAUAUUCUGUUAUUAUGCAAUAAUGAUUGGACAGAGUGGUUAAUCGUAAGAGCCUUUUUAGCAGCAGAACUAGUUUUGGGGGGAAUGAUGGUCAGGACCCUGAGGGCCAGCUCCUGGGGCCCACCCCAAGAGAGCAGUGUAUGAGGGUCAUGUCCUUCUGGGGCUUUGUCUCUCCUGCCCCUUUGGUUGCCCUCUGGCCUGCGAACCUGGAGCUCAUUGUGAGUUCUGUAGCCUGAAGCCAGAAUUCAGAGUGGGUGCUGGUCCCUGUUUAAGCCCACACAGCAGUCAUACCUUCAGGCUCUGGUUAGGGAAGUUAGAACUCAGACAAGAGAAAUGAGCAUUUUUCUUAAGCUCCAAGUUUAAGGGAGGUAGAGGGACCUCUCUGUUCUGCCUCUUGCAGUAGCAGCCUGCGGGGAGAGAGAGUAGGGUGGGGCGGUAGCUGAGAGAAGAAGCGUGCAACUUCUGUCUUUGUAAAGAGCUGUGGAAACUGGUUUUGAGUUUAACUCAGCAGAAGCAGAUGAGGCAGUUGACUGUUAAAUAUCUAUGAGGCUACUUUAAAAUAUUUAUGGAAAAAUGGAUUUUUAAGGUUAUGUUUAUUUUUGGUGCAAAACAUUUCCAAAAAUCCCGUAGUUUUUUUGUAAUAGGCAUUUUUCGUGAUCUUUUUGAAGACACCCCCCCCCACAGUCCUAAACUAGGUGACACUUGCCUUGUGCAUAGAGCUCAAACUCUGUAAAGUCAAACAGAAAUUUUACAAAUGAAACCAAACAGCUUGUGAAACACAAAUUUAGAACACUCAGUUCAAGUCGCAGAGAGGCUUUGCUGAAACCAGCGUGGCGCUCGCUGUAACAGGAGGCUGGCACGGGCCCAGGUGCGCCGCGCGCUGCCCCCUUGUUUUCUCUCUGCAGUAGUGUGAAGCCUGUGCCUUGACUGCUGGGCUUAGCCGUAGUGCAUUAUUUUCAGGCUUCUGCCUCUAAUCAGUAGUGUGCAGCUGGGUGCCAAUGGAAUCAUGGACAAACCAAGCACACGUUUGUACUCAUACUGUAGAUUAUCCAGAAUAUAGAUGCUAUGUUUUUAGUUUUACAGAUUAAAAUGCAAACAUAAGUCUGAUGGAGACGUCUUGAACACUCUAGAAUACAUUCUAAACCCCAUUUUAAGAAAUACUGGUCUUAAAAGAUUUUGACCUUUUGGUAACAAUGAGUUCAUUGCUGUAUGUUUGUUAAAUCAACCAACAGGGGGAGGCACUGUACAGCUCCUUAGAUUUCUCGUUAGUUGGACUUCUGUCUCUUGAGGUCACGGAUUUCCAUCCCUAAGAUGGUAUGGGAAGCUUCGGUUGAGAUGUAGUGACCUGAAGGAGUGAGAAAGUGCCUUAAAAGUGAACCCUGAGAAGUAGUGGAAUGAGUUUUUUUUCAUAUCAAAUAACAGUAGCAGAAGGUAAACUUCUGGCUUUUGGAUGGAGUCUUCAGAGUGAUGAUGUUUGUAAACUGGGCAUUCCAAACAUUUGGGAUUCCACUGAAAGCUAAGUCUGUACUAGUAUUGCGUGAUAUAUGUAAAAUUACAUCAUUAUGUAGGCAUUAGUUAGAAAAUACUUUGGAAAAAAGGAAUGACUUUCAACUUAAGAUAAUCAGUUAAUAAAAGGAAUAUGUGUAAUGAGAAGCCUUUUUUUACCCAUUAGUUUAGUGAUGUUAAGAAAAUAUAUCAUCAGUAGGAAUAAACUGAAAAAAGGAAGACAUGGGAGGAAGAGAGGUAUAAGGUAUGGAGUAAGACUUGCAGGAGAACCGGGGUUUAAUUCUGAUUCCUGUAUCAGUGUGGAGAGGCACAGAGGCCAUCUUGCUCCUGCAGUAAAUUGCUUGACAAAUGUGCCCACCAG